GAGUUUGAUUCUGGCUCAGGAUGAACGCGGCGGCGUGCCUAACACAUGCAAGUCGAACGAAGAAUUUUUUGGAAGUUUUCGGAUGGAAGAAAAAUUACUUAGUGGCGGACGGGUGAGUAACGCGUAAGUAAUCAACCUACAACACACGAAUAACUAAGAGAAAUCUUAGCUAAUACGAGAUGAAGUAAGUAUAUCGGGAGAUAUAAAUAUGAAAGCUGAGGCGGUUGUAGACGAGCUUGCGUCUGAUUAGCUAGUUGGCAGGGUAAGAGCCUACCAAGGCGACGAUCAGUAGCCGGCCUGAGAGGGUGAACGGCCACAUUGGAACUGAGAGACGGUCCAAACUCCUACGGGAGGCAGCAGUGGGGGAUAUUGCACAAUGGGCGAAAGCCUGAUGCAGCAACGCCGCGUGAGCGAAGAAGGCUUUCGAGUCGUAAAGCUCUGUCGUAUGGGAAGAAAAAAAUGACAG
rnacentral:rRNA from 1 species